rnacentral:tRNA from 1 species
GGGGAUAUGGCUCAACUGGUAGAGUGCUUGCCUCACAUGUACGAGGCCCUGGGUUCAAAUCCCCAGUAACACAC